rnacentral:pre_miRNA from 1 species
AAAGUACUCCCUCCGUCCCAAAAUUCUUGUCUUAGAUUUGUCUAGAUACGGAUGUAUCAAGUCACAUUUUAGUAUUAGAUACACCCGUAUGUAGACAAAUCUAAGACAAGAAAUUUGGGACAAAGGGAGUAGUUG